UACAGAGGUCCCGAGCGUUGUUCGGAUUCACUGGGCGUAAAGGGUGCGUAGGUGGCAUAGAAAGUUUGAUGUGAAAGCUCAGGGCUUAACCCUGAAAUGGCAAUGAAUACUGCUGUGCUGGAGGUUUGGAGGGGGGACUGGAAUUCUUGGUGUAGCAGUGAAAUGCGUAGAUAUCAAGAGGAACACCAGUGGCGAAGGCGAGUCCCUGGACAACACCUGACACUGAGGCACGAAAGCUAGGGGAGCAAACAGG
rnacentral:rRNA from 1 species